CCCAGGCAGGGGUGGGGACGGUGUGUUCCCUUCCCCAAAGCCGCAAGGGGCCCGGCGGGGAGCAGGGGCUCUCCUCUCUCCCCGCGACCCCGCCCCUGUCCCUGCCCCCGGCCGCACCUGCACUGGCUCAGAACUGUGCCUGUUCCAGCUCAGACUCAGCUCAGCCUUGGGCUGCAGUGAAACGCCCUCCCGUUUUGCCCUCCUGUCCAAAGGGUGUGCUCCCAAUUAUCGCAAUCAUGCUAUCAUCGCUGGCAGUGUUUAUCGCAAUCGUGCUAUCAUCACUGGCCACACUGCCAGCCCCCAAAAGGUAGCUCUGGUCUGUGGCCACUGGCAUGAAGUCACGUCCAGCUCCAGCCUCAAGACUGCCAUGUUCUCCACUCCAGGGAAUCCUGCUCACCCUCCUGCUCUGGGGCAGCUUGGCAGAUAUCAGCCACUGGGGCUGAUCAAUGGCCAGCCUCCAAGGAAACCCAGGCGCACAAUAGCCUUGGGGUCAGCAAAAUGUCCUGUCUGUGGUGGGGAACAGGCUUCAUUACUUUAUUUAGAAGGCCAUUCGCUGCUCUACUGGUCACUGAAAAUGCUGGUUUAAAGACUCAUGUGGAGGUGACACGCAGAUGUCCCAUCUCCCAGGAAGUCCAGGAUGGAAGUUCUUACCCACCAUGGUACAGGUGACGGGGGUGAAGCCCAGGAGGAGAGAGAGCUGCCACUCAGCAGGAACCCCUCUUGACCUAAGACUCAGCUGUAGCAGCAGGAGCUUUCUGCGUGGAAGCAGCCCUGCACUGAGCAGCGCUGCCCUGGCCCCACUCCUGCGCUCCUAUUCGUUUACUGACAGCCCCAGGAGUGUCCUCUAGCCUGUUGCCCAGUCACUGUGAGGGUAAGUGGGAGAAGACACCUGCUAAUAGGAGAUACGCAGUUAUCGCCAGUAGGGCUCCUGAGCAGUGCUUGUGUGAGCAAGCUAGCAGCAAACAACCGUGGCAAGAACCACCAGUUGCAAGUGGAAGCCCCACACCAGGCAGGGCUCGCCCAGGCCCUGGUCCUGGCCCCGGCCCAGGGUGCUCUGGACUGGUGCUGUUGUGGGUGCACGUGUGUUACUGAUCACAUGCUCCCUGUCACUCUUGCACAUGCUGGAGCUGGCGGGACAUGAAGGGAGGUGGCGCUGGGCUGGAGACUGUUACAUACAGCCUCAGGGGUGCUGCUGAAACAAGAAAACAUGCCUUUUGCAGACAUGUGUGUCUCCUCACUUCUACACUGGAUCCAAGUGUAUUUUUAAAAUAGACGUUUUUAUUGUUGCUUUGCUUUGCUUUGGAAUAGGAUAACUUGAUUUUAAAAUUCAUGAAGAUAAACAAAUAGAAAGAACUCUGAAAAAAACAACAACAACAACAAUGGUGGGAGGGGAACCAGACCACCAGAUAUCCAACAUACCAUCCCAUAAGCUUGGCAACUGGCCAGUGGGGCAGAGCAGAGAUGCAGGAAUUAGACUCAAAGACAGUGGGACCCCAUGUUUAGCAUAAAGUAACAUCUCAGAUGGAGUUGGGGGAGCGGGUCCAAAAUAUGUGUUUGGACAACUAAGUAGCAUCUGGGAAGAAAGUAAGGUCCAUGCUUCACACCAGGAUAAAUUCCAAACGGGUUAAAGAUUUAAAUGUGGAAAAUGAAACCAUAGAUGUUCAAGGAGAAAACAUGAGAAUACCCCUUUAUGAUGUAAGGACAGAAAGUCUUCCUAUGAAUCAAAGCCCAGAAGCCAUAAAUGAAAAGAUUGAUAAACCUGAUUACAAAAGCACAAAGUACUUCUCCAUGGAGAAAGUCACCAUAAGCAAAGGCAAAAGAUAAAUGACAAACUGAGAAAAAAAUAUGUGCAGCUCAUCUAUCACAAAACACUAGCCUCCAACAUAGGAAGAGCUCACAGAAUUAAAGGGAAAAACCAAUGCCCAACAGAAGAUGGCAAAGGCUACACUAGACAGGUGAUCAAAAGGAAAUGGAAUGACUCAAACAUCUGAAAGAUGCUUAGCCUUGCCCACUGAGAGACAAACGCUAACCAGACCCCACUGAAAUCUGGCUGCUUACCUACCAGGGAGGUGAGGCUGGGGGAACACUUCACUGACAGAAAGACAGCUUGUCACAACCUCUGUGGUGGGUGACUGGGUGAUACCUACAAAAAUUCUGACCCCACAAACCAACUUUGGGAACCUAUUCCACAAACGCAUGUGCACACCUACAAAAUGGGAUAUAGGCCUGAUUAUUCAAUGCAGCAAAAGCCUCAGAACGCGUGUCCUUACAUGGAGCACUUUUUCUGAGCUGAAUGGAGUGACUCACAUCAAGCUCCCUUACCCCCCUUUUCUUUGCAAUCUUGAAGGAAACACUCCCCUGCUUCAGGAGCCAGAGCUUCAUCAACAACCCUGCUCUGGGAAUCUUAGACAUACUGUCCACCCAGCGCUGACAGCUCAGGAGUAACAGAUGCUUCAAUAGGUCUUUUCAGCAAUUUUCUCCAAAAAUAAGGAAAAGCAAGGACAUGAGUUUGGAAUCCGCAAUUAAUGAUCCAGAUUUGUUCACUUGAUAAAAAAUGUUCUUCAUUUGAGGCUGAUCAAAAGUAAAAGCAACUCAUAUCCAGAAUAAAGAACUCACAAAUCUCAGCAAUAAGCAAACACCUGAUUUUAAAAAUGAACAAAAAGUGUGAACUCAGCCAAAGAAGAUAGAUGGCAAACAUCUAUGGUGAAAAGAUGCUCCAUAUCAUUUGUCAUUAGAGACAGGCGGAGUAAAUGAGGAGAGGACACCACACUCAAUGAGUUUGGCGGUUUCUUAUGAAGUUAGAAAUGUCACUGUACAACUGGGCAAUCCUACUCCUAGGCAUUUACCAAGUGAACUGAAAACCCAUCCACAAAUGUUUAAUAUAGCACCUUUACUCACAUUCAGCAAAAACUGGAGGCAAGCACUUUCUAUAGGUGAAGUGGUGGUGUAUCCAUACAAUGGAAUACUAUUCAGUGAUGAAAAGGAAGGAGCUAUUGAUUCACACACACAAAAAUGGAUGACUCUUAAAUGCAUUUUGCUAAGUCAAAGAAGCUAGACCCAAAAGUCUAUAUAUUGUAUGACUCUUGUCAUAUGACAUUCUGUCAAGAGCAAAACUGUAAGGACAGAAAACACAGCAGGGGUUGGGGAUCAGGGAACAGUUGACCACAAGGGGGAUUUUUAGGGUAAUGGAACUGUUCUGCAUGUCCCUGGGGUGGCAGAUACCAGAUUCUACUUGGGUCAAAACCUACAGGACUGUGCACCACAGAAUGCACUUUAACAUAUGCAAAGACUUAACAUGUAAAGGAAGCUGGGGUCUCUGACUGGAUGACAAAUGUAAGACCUGGCCUCUUAGGAGGGGGUGGGUAAAAGAAGCUGACCUAAGGAAUUUGGGAAAAUGGUGGUUUGACUAGAAACUGAAAGAUUACAGACAAAAGGAACUAUACUUAAAUAUGCUCUCAUUUCUCAUGAGAAUGUGCGUUAACAAUUCUGAAACUGCUUCACAUGGAUGCUGUGGCUAAACCAACAGGUGACUACUGCACAGCAGCUGGUGGGAGCUGUCUCUCACUCUGGGAGAGGUAACUUACAGACCAGCAAGGGGUGAGUGAGAAUGUGCCCUUCCUGAGGGACUGCCCCAAAGUCAACAUUGGUGUGAUCUCAUGUUUAGUCCUGCGUGCAUACCGAGGGGCAAGGAGAUGAUUAAAGGCAUGUGUGUGUAAAUGGGCUGGUACACACACGUAUGAGCUCUGUCCACUGGGUCUGAAGCAGCAACACUCCAGGAGCAAGGAACACACCCAGCGCCGAGACCUUGGUUUCUAGAUGCCAUUUUCCAAUAAAGGAAACAGGGAUCUUUGGAGAAAUGACUGAUCCUAAGACUACAGCAGGAAAAGUACAAGAUAAGCCUGAAGCAUCUUGUGAUGCCAGGAAGUAAGGAAGUACACAAAAAACCAAUGAUGGGGGCAAAAGGCUGCAGAAGUCAACCUGACCAGAGUUCCUGGCCAAGCCUCAACCGUUUGGGCAACAAAAUAAACAUCAGGGGUAAGUCACGUGGACAGCAUCUUCCCACUUACCAACAGGAGAUGUGAGGGGACAGGAAGGGCACUUCACCACUGCAGUACUGGUCCCCAAAAGCCAUACACCAGUCUAUGCACAAAAAAGACAUCAGGCAAGUGCAAACUGAGGGACAUUCUACAACUACCUGGCUACCACCCUUUAGAACUGUCAAGGUCCUGGAAAACAAGGAGAGUCUGUGAAACUACAAAAGCCCUCAGAAGCCUAAGGCAUGAUGACUGUAGUUCAGAUAAUGAAUUAUAGAAAACCCAUUUGACUCACACUUUCGAUCACUACAGAGGUGACUAUGUAGCCCAUUUCUGAGUAAGUCAGUACUUCCAAGAGAAUGCAAAUAGUUAAUACAGCUCAGUUGCUGGAGAAAGUCAGUGAUUUCUGAGGCUCCUCAAAUGCUUUGGGACACUGGCCCACACAAUGGUCACCUUUGCCAACUGGAUAUUUCCCUGAUGAAUGACUGCCCACCUCGAGCACAAACACAUGGGAGCCACCCAGCAACUGUGGCAGUGACAACUAGGGCAUGUGGCCCAGCACCAUGCUCCACGUCUUCUCUUCCUGGAGAAUGUGACUUCAGCUCCCAACAGCAAAGCACAGGUAGGAAUGCUCCCUCCCUGACUCCCCUCAGCUGUCACUGGUUUUGGGAAUGGAUUCUGGCCAUUGAGUUCUAGAUAAGCCACUGGGUGUGUUUCCCUCUGCCCUUUGCCCUUGCCCUUCUUUCUGCCUGGAGUAUGUUCCAAUCUUGUAGGAGCAGUAGGUGUCAUACAGUCACGGGGUGGAACGACUGGCUAAAUCCAUAUACCAACAAUGACUGAAGAGAAAGAGACAAUGAGCCUGAGUCCUGGGUGGUGCCCUGGAGCAGCACACCAGUCCUGGAUACCCACAUCAGGACCUGUAACCUGAGAAAAACAAGCCAAAGCCUGCCAAUCUCGGGGUUAGCCUUUCUCCUUCCCCUGCACAAAUGUCUUCUGGUGAGCUACUGCUCCCAGAAUACUGCUCACUGAAGCUCUGGCUGUAUAAUUUCUGGAUAACAUCACUGGACAGGAACAAAAAGAGGCCACUGGCUAACUAGGGGCUGGAACAGCACAGCCUACCACAGCGCUGAGAGCCUGUGCUGGGAAGGGGUUCUCUCGCUGACAAGGGGAGGGCCUCAUCUUACUCCCACCCCAACCCAGAACUUCCUACCCUAGACCAAAUGCCAAAUGGGCACUUUGGAAAAAGAUGGCAGCUCACCACCUCCCCAUCCCCAGAUCCCUUUAAAAUGAAAGAAAAGGAUUUAAAGGACAAAGUGAAGGGAGAUAAUCAUUGGGAAGCUGGAAAUUAGCAAGAUGUUAGAGAAAGCAAAGAAGCAGCUCUUAUUACUCUGUAAAACAUGACCUCCACCCCUGCAAAGGACCAGUACUGCCUGGUUGGGGGGGUGCAGUGGGGCUAAAAGAGGGGGCACCUGAACAUUAAUUAGAGAAGUGGUGGACACAGCAUGGUGACCUCCCUGCCUCACAUAUGGCUGCUGCCCUUCCUGCGCUUGCCAAAGACCAGUUCCUGUCUGAGCAGGGCAGCAGAGGCGGGAGCUCAGGACUAGGGACCCCAGACAGGGUUCAGGGCAGGGCAGCCUCUUGGACGGGGGCUUGAGGAACAGCCUGCUAGACCAUGUUGCCAUGUCCAGCAGUCUCCCUGCCUGGCUCCCCGAGAAGGGCUACACCCCCAGGGAGGGACAGAGAGUCACUGAGACCCCUGUGCACCGGGACCCCCAACCAGCUCCCAGCCUCUGGGCAGCAUCCCAGACACUAAGUGUCAUCAGACAGCAAGAAAAGCCUCUGACGCCAGUGGACAAGAGAGAUCAGCAAGCAGAAGGCCCAGAGGAUGCAGGGGCUGCACCACGUGGGGCGAAGCAAACUUCCAGAGCUGUCACUCAUCCUCAGAGGUAAGAUAUGAGUCUGUAAAGCCACAACUGGAUGGUCCUCAAAAAAAGGAGACCCAAACCCAUGUCUGAAAGUGAAGACAAAGCAGGAGAAUAUGGCAGAGACUGAAUCUCACUUUGAGGGUUGGAAGAGAACGCUGGGAAAGUCCCUCCAAAAGCAGAUGGAAAAUGGAAAGACGGAUGAGAGAAGGCAAAAGGCAUGAAAAUGGAGUGGUCAACCCAACAAUUCCAGUCCAGACAGAAAAUCCCAGAGACUUCAGAGACACAGAGGUGGCCAUCACCCGGAGCAAGAGCAAGGGUGGGCCCCAGACUCUGAGGGCUCUCGAGGCUGCACCGAGGGGCCCACUGCAGGAAACCUCCGCUCGGCCCAGGAGCCUGGGGUAAAGACUGCAGUCCGAAGUUCCAGGGAAGGAAAUCAGGAAUCAGAAUGGCUUCAGUCUUCUUGGCAGCAACAUCGGAGACCCAAGACAGCGCAGAGAGUCCCUCUAAACUCCGGAGCAAACACGAGACCUGUGACCUAACACCCAGGCCAACGUGAACCAGGUGCUAGACCAGGAACAAGACACUCCAGACACGUGAAUAUUCAAAAAAACUGCCUCCCACACCAUCCUUUGGGCUCCACAAAAAACCAGAGGGGUGCGUUUGAGGAAAUGCAACAUGGAGAAGAACCCCUUCUGAUGGAAAGCUAGGAAGGAAAUAUCAAAGAAGGCGGUCGAAGAAGCCAACAGUGGCUGCCUCUGGGAGGAGGACCAGGAAUGCUGGGGCACAUAAUAAAAUAUGCAGGACAAUUUGGUCUUUGGGCUACAUUUAUUAUAGUGUGCAUUACUCUAAUAAAAUUGUUAAAAUAGUAUGUAAAAUGGGACCGGGUA